rnacentral:rRNA from 1 species
UACAGAGGGUGCGAGCGUUAAUCGGAAUUACUGGGCGUAAAGCGUGCGUAGACGGUUACGUAAGUCGGAUGUGAAAGCCCCGGGCUCAACCUGGGAAUUGCAUUCGAGACUGCGUAGCUAGAAUGCGGAGGAGGGAAGCGGAAUUUCCGGUGUAGCGGUGAAAUGCGUAGAUAUCGGAAAGGAACGACCAGUGGCGAAAGCGGCUUCCUGGUCCAGCAGUCGACGUCAGGCACGAAAGCGUGGGGAGCAAACAGG